UACGUAGGUGGCCAGCGUUGUCCGGAUUUACUGGGCGUAAAGAGCGCGCAGGCGGUCGUUCAAGUCGAGUGUGAAAGCCCCCGGCUCAACUGGGGAGGGUCAUUCGAUACUGAUCGACUCGAAGGCAGGAGAGGGAAGCGGAAUUCCCGGUGUAGUGGUGAAAUGCGUAGAUAUCGGGAGGAACACCAGUGGCGAAGGCGGCUUCCUGGCCUGUUCUUGACGCUGAGGCGCGAAAGCUAGGGGAGCAAACGGG
rnacentral:rRNA from 1 species